rnacentral:siRNA from 1 species
UUACGUAACUAUUGUGGGCUUU